AUCGCCAACAACAGCAGCCUCCACGCGGCUGGCGAUGUGCAACGGGGUGAGAACUCCGACUGAUAGCUGUU
rnacentral:ribozyme from 1 species